rnacentral:rRNA from 1 species
GCGGAAUUCCUAGUGUAGCGGUGAAAUGCGUAGAUAUUAGGAGGAACCCCCAGUGGCGAAGGCGGCUUUCUGGACUGUAACUGACACUGAGGCAUGAAAGCGUGGGUAGCAAACAGGAUUAGAUACCCUGGUAGUCCACGCCGUAAACGAUGGGUACUAGGUGUAGGAGGUAUCGACCCCUUCUGUGCCGUCGUUAACACAAUAAGUACCCCGCCUGGGGAGUACGGUCGCAAGACUAAAACUCAAAGGAAUUGACGGGGGCCCGCACAAGCAGCGGAGCAUGUGGUUUAAUUCGAAGCAACGCGAAGAACCUUACCUAGACUUGACAUCUCCUGAAUUACCCUUAACCGGGGAAGCCCUUCGGGGCAGGAAGACAGGUGGUGCAUGGUUGUCGUCAGCUCGUGUCGUGAGAUGUUGGGUUAAGUCCCGCAACGAGCGCAACCCUUAUUUUUAGUUGCUACCAUUCAGUUGAGCACUCUAAAGAGACUGCCCGGGUUAACCGGGAGGAAGGUGGGGAUGACGUCAAAUCAUCAUGCCCCUUAUGUCUAGGGCUACACACGUGCUACAAUGGUGAGAACAAAGAGACGCGAGACCGCGAGGUGGAGCAAAUCUCAUAAAACUCAUCCCAGUUCGGAUUGCAGGCUGAAACUCGCCUGCAUGAAGCCGGAGUUGCUAGUAAUCGGGAAUCAGCAUGUCGCGGGAAACU